GAUGAACGCUAGCUACAGGCUUAACACAUGCAAGUCGAGGGGAAACGACAUCGAAAGCUUGCUUUUGAUGGGCGUCGACCGGCGCACGGGUGAGUAACGCGUAUCCAACCUGCCCACCACUUGGGGAUAACCUUGCGAAAGUAAGACUAAUACCCAAUGACGUCUCUAGAAGACAUCUGAAGGAGAUUAAAGAUUUAUCGGUGAUGGAUGGGGAUGCGUCUGAUUAGCUUGUUGGCGGGGUACCGGCCCACCAAGGCGACGAUCAGUGGGGGUUCUGAGAGGAAGGUCCCCCACAUUGGAACUGAGACACGGUCCAAACUCCUACGGGAGGCAGCAGUGAGGAAUAUUGGUCAAUGGGCGAGAGCCUGAACCAGCCAAGUAGCGUGCAGGAUGACGGCCCUAUGGGUUGUAAACUGCUUUUAUAAGGGAAUAAAGUGAGCCUCGUGAGGCUUUUUGCAUGUACCUUAUGAAUAAGGACCGGCUAAUUCCGUGCCAGCCGCCGCCGUAA
rnacentral:rRNA from 1 species